UUAAGAUCCAGGCUUAAAACUUUUCAGUCCAAAACGCAAACUUUAGCUUUCCCAGUCUACUUUAGUUUCCCCAAUAUAAUAUUUUGCUUUUGUCAUAUUAAUUUUGUCUCCUUUCGUAAACACAGGGUACCCAAGAGCAAGCAGUCGGUUAAACACACAGGGUACCCGAAAAGCCAAAGUUAUUCUUCCUCGCUUUUACUUGGACAAGACUCRGAUAUCCUACAAAGGGCUAGCAUCCGAAACGUCAGUAACCAAGGAAUCCCAAAACUUUAGAAAAAUUCAAAAUAACACAGGAAACCCACAACCAAGAAAUUUUCCAGGUAACACAGAAAGCCCAAAACCCAAAUUUUUUUAGCCAGCACAGGAAGCCCAAAAGUCAAAUUUUUGUAACGCAGGACAGGAAGCCCAAAACCCAAAUUUUUUUAAGGCAG